CUACGGGCGGCUCCAGUGGGGAAUCUUGCGCAAUGGGCGAAAGCCUGACGCAGCAACGCCGCGUGAGCGAAGAAGGCCUUCGGGUUGUAAAGCUCUGUCAGGGGGAAAGAAGGCACCUGGGUUAAUAGCCCAAGGGCUGACGGUACCCCCAAAGGAAGCCACGGCUAACUACGUGCCAGCAGCCGCGGUAAUACGUAGGUGGCGAGCGUUGUCCGGAAUCAUUGGGCGUAAAGAGCGCGUUGGUGGCUUGUCAGGUCCGAUGUGAAAACUUGGGGCUCAACCCCAAGCCUGCAUUGGAAACCGGCUUGCUAGAGUCUGGGAGAGGAGAGUGGAAUUCCUGGUGUAGCGGUGAAAUGCGUAGAUAUCAGGAGGAACACCGGUAGCGAAGGCGGCUCUCUGGAACAGUACUGACGCUGAGGCGCGAAAGCUAGGGGAGCGAACAGGAUUAGAUACCCCCGUAGUC
rnacentral:rRNA from 1 species